AGUCACAGGGAUGUCUUUCCUCUGUACACGUCUGUCUGUGCCAACUUAAUCACCUCUGUAAAGACCAUGUCUCCAAAUAAGGCCACAUACUGGGGACAGGACAUCAACGUGUCUUUUGGGGGACACAGUUUAGCUCAUGAUAAUCCCCAUCUCAGUUCCUUCACCAGCCCUGGAGCUUGACUUUAUUAGUCCUUUGAUAGUCAGGUGGUAUUGAAGCUCAGAGAUGUCAAGUCCUUUGCCUAAGAUCACCCAGCCUGGGCACUAAUAUUCCCCACAGCACGCGGGUGCCACAAAUACCAAGAGGGAGCUGAUCUCCAUCCCAGGCAACCCAGGGUGGCUUCCUGGAGGAGGCGUUGUUCGACAUGGGUAUUGUUGGUUAGGGGGACUUUUAAUCACUUAGAAAAGCAUGGAGAGUCAAGUUUCAGGGAAAAGUCCGACCCCUGAUGGGGGCGCUCCCCUCACUCUCUCCACCCCAUCUUUUGGGCAGGGCCUCCCCCACCCAAGGGCAAGACUGCAGUUGCCCAGGACCUCCUGCUCGGGGCAGACCUCAGGUUCCGAGUCCCCGUCUCAGUUCUCUGAGGCUACAUGGGUUGGCCUUACCCCUUGAUGCACUUUUGACCCUCCCUUCUCCUGCCACCCCAAGGUCCUCUGUCC
rnacentral:lncRNA from 1 species